rnacentral:tRNA from 2 species
GCCCCCGUAGCUCAGCUGGAUAGAGCAUUCGCCUCCUAAGCGAAGGGUCGUGGGUUCGAAUCCCGCCGCGGGGCGCCA